UCUUCUUGCGCAGCUUAGGUGGAAGGCUGAGAAAGGCAAUUCCGGUUGUCUGGAGCCAUCAGUGAGAUACCACUCUGGGAGAGCUAGGAGUCUAAUGGCGUUCCUUGAAUCAGGACGCUUGACAGUUCCAGGUGGGCAGUUUUACUGGGGCGGUAGCCUCCUAAAAGGUAACGGAGGCGUGCAAAGGUUCCCUCAGGCUGGACGGAAAUCAGCCAUAGAGUGUAAAGGCAGAAGGGAGCUUGACUGCAAGACCUACAAGUCGAGCAGGGACGAAAGUCGGCCUUAGUGAUCCGACGGUGCCGUGUGGAAGGGCCGUCGCUCAACGGAUAAAAGUUACUCUAGGGAUAAC
rnacentral:rRNA from 1 species